rnacentral:rRNA from 1 species
GAUGAACGCUAGCGGCAGGCCUAAUACAUGCAAGUCGAACGGUAACAGGGAUAGCAAUAUCUGCUGACGAGUGGCGCACGGGUGCGUAACGCGUAUGCAAUCUACCUUUAACUGGUGAAUAGCCCGAAGAAAUUCGGAUUAACACACCAUAGUAUGUUGAGAAGGCAUCUUUUCAACAUUAAAACUACCGGUGGUUAGAGAUGAGCAUGCGUGACAUUAGCUAGUUGGUAAGGUAAUGGCUUACCAAGGCUACGAUGUCUAGGGGAUCUGAGA